GAUGAACGCUAGCUACAGGCUUAACACAUGCAAGUCGCGGGGCAGCAUGGGGGUGGCUGGCAAUGCCCGAUGGCGAGCGGCGCACGGGUGAGUAACGCGUAUCCAAGCUGCCGUUCACGACGGGAUAACUCGGCGAAAGUCGGACUAAUACCGUAGGUGGUCGAUGGACGGCAUCCGACUAGGAUGAACGGCGCGGCGCUGGAGGAGGCGGUUGCGGUCGAUUGGGUGGACGGCGUAGUGACGGCCCACCGUGGCGAUGUUUGGUGGGGGUUCGGAGAGGAAGGUCCCCUGCGAUGGAACCGAGACACGGUCCAGACCGCUACGGGAGGCAGCAGUGAGGAAUAUUAGUCACUGGGCGUAAGCCUGACCCUGCCAAGUAGCGUGCAGGAUGACGGGCCUAUGGGUUGUAAACUGCUUUUAUGCGGGGAUAAAGUGGCAAACGUGUGGGUUUUUGACGGUACCGUAUGAAUAAGGACCGGCUAAUUCCGUG
rnacentral:rRNA from 1 species